rnacentral:rRNA from 1 species
UACGAAGGGUGCAAGCGUUAAUCGGAAUUACUGGGCGUAAAGCGUGCGUAGGCGGGAUGGCAAGUCGGUCGUGAAAUCCCUCGGCUCAACCGAGGAACGUCGAUCGAUACUGCUGUUCUUGAGGAUUGCAGAGGAGACUGGAAUUCCCGGUGUAGCGGUGAAAUGUGUAGAGAUCGGGAGGAACACCGGUGGCGAAGGCGGGUCUCUGGGCAAUUCCUGACGCUGAGGCGCGAAAGCGUGGGGAGCAAACGGG